rnacentral:rRNA from 1 species
AUGUACUUAGCAAGUGCCACAAGACCUGACAUCUCUUUUGUUGUUAGCAAACUGAGCCGGUUUGUCUCUAAACCAGGAGAUGUGCAUUGGAAAGCUCUAGAGAGAGUUUUGCGUUAUUUGAAAGGAACUGCGAAUUAUGGAAUUCACUACACUGGGCACCCAAAGGUGCUUGAAGGGUAUAGUGACUCAAACUGGAUCUCAGAUGCUGAUGAGAUAAAGGCCACGAGCGGAUAUGUAUUCACUCAUGGAGGUGGCGCUGUUUCUUGGAAGUCUUGCAUGCAGACCAUCUUAACGAGGUCAACAAUGGAAGCGGAACUCACAGCACUAGAUACAGCUACAGUCGAAGCAGAUUGGCUUCGUCGGCUCUUGAAUGACUUGCCGGUUGUUGAGAAACCUGUACCAGGUAUCCUUAUGAACUGUGAUAAUCAAACUGUGAUCACGAAAGUGAACAGUUCAAAGGAUAACAUGAAGUCAUCAAGACACGUUCAGAGAAGGUUAAAGUCUGUCAGAAAAAUGAGAAACUCUGGAGUUAUUGCAUUGGAUUAUAUC